rnacentral:rRNA from 2 species
UACGAAGGGUGCAAGCGUUACUCGGAAUUACUGGGCGUAAAGCGUGCGUAGGUGGUUCGUUAAGUCCGAUGUGAAAGCCCUGGGCUCAACCUGGGAAUGGCAUGGGAUACUGGCGGGCUAGAGUGCGGUAGAGGGCAGUGGAAUUCCCGGUGUAGCAGUGAAAUGCGUAGAGAUCGGGAGGAACAUCUGUGGCGAAGGCGACUGCCUGGACCAGCACUGACACUGAGGCACGAAAGCGUGGGGAGCAAACAGG